CAGCGCCACGAGUGGCAAUCACGUUUAUUGGGCCUAAAGCGUCCGUAGCCGGUUUGGUAAAUCUUUUGUGAAAUCGUCAGGCUUAACUUGACGGCUUGCAGAAGAAACUGCCGAACUCGGGACCGGGAGGAGUCAGAAGUAUUCAGGGGGGACCGGUAAAAUGGUAUAAUCCCCUGAGGACUACCGAUGGCGAAGGCAUCUGACCAGAACGGAUCCGACGGUAAGGGACGAAAGCCAGGGGAGCAAACCGGAUUAGAUACCCGAGUAGUCC
rnacentral:rRNA from 1 species